rnacentral:rRNA from 1 species
GACGAACGCUGGCGGCGUGCCUAAUACAUGCAAGUCGAACGCAUUUUCUUUCACCGUAGCUUGCUACACCGAAAGAAAAUGAGUGGCGAACGGGUGAGUAACACGUGGGUAACCUGCCCAUCAGCGGGGGAUAACACUUGGAAACAGGUGCUAAUACCGCAUAAUUCCAUUUACUGCAUGGUAGAUGGAUGAAAGGCGCUUUUGCGUCACUGAUGGAUGGACCCGCGGUGCAUUAGCUAGUUGGUGGGGUAACGGCCUACCAAGGCUGCGAUGCAUAGCCGACCUGAGAGGGUGAUCGGCCACACUGGGACUGAGACACGGCCCAGACUCCUACGGGAGGCAGCAGUAGGGAAUCUUCGGCAAUGGACGCAAGGCUGACCGAGCAACGCCGCGUGAGUGAAGAAGGUUUUCGGAUCGUAAAACUCUGUUGUUUGAAAAGAACAAGGAUGAGAGUGGAAAGUUCAUCCCUUGACGGUAUCUAACCAGAAAGCCACGGCUAACUACGUG